rnacentral:rRNA from 1 species
GACUUCGAGUGCCAUCUUUGAUGGCUUUUGCCAACUGUAGGAAGGUUGGCGAAUAAGGACUGGGUAAGAUACGUGCCAGCCGCCGCGGUAAUACGUACAGUCCAAGUGGUAUCCCCUGAUAUUGGGCCUAAAGCGUUCGUAGCCGGCUCUGUAAGUCCUUGGUGAAAUCGGCUCUCUUAAGGAGUCGAACUGCCAGGGAUACUGCAAGGCUCGAGACCGGGAGACGUAAAGGGAAUUUUCGGAGUAACGGUGCAAUGUUGUGAUCCCGAAAAGACCACCAGUAGCGAAGGCGCUUUACGAGAACGGCUCUGACGGUGAGGAACGAAAGCUGGGGGAGCGACCCGGAUUAGAUACCCGGUUAGUCCCAGCCGUAAACGAUGCGGACUAGGUGUGCUAGCACUCAUGUAGUGUGGGCGUGCCGAAGUGAAGAUCUUAAGUCCGCCGCCUGGGAAGUAUACUCGCAAGGGUGAAACUUAAUGGAAUUGGCGGGGACGCACUACAAGGGGUGGAUGCUGUGGUUUAAUUGGACACAACGCCAGAAAUCUUACCAGGGGCGACAGUAGCAUGAUGGUCAGUCCAAAGGGCUUACCUGACACGCUGAGAGGUGUUGUAUGGUCAUCGUCAGCUCGUACUAUGAAGCGUCCUGUCAACUCAGGCAACGGGCGAGACCCACGUCCAUAGUUGCAAUCUCGGGAUUCCCCGGGAGCACUCUAUGGAGACUGCAAUGGUAACAUUGAGGAAGGAGUGGGCCACGGUAGAUCUGUAUGGCCCGAAUCUCCUGGGCUACACGCGGCAUACAAUGGACAAGACAAUGAGUCUCGAGCCCGAAAGGGUAAGGUAAUCCCAGAAACUUGUCCUCAGUUCGAAUUGAGGGUUGUAACCCACCCUCAUGAAGAUGGAAUCCCCAGUAAUCGCGUGUCACUAUCGCGCGGUGAAUUAGUCCCUG